rnacentral:rRNA from 1 species
AUGGAGCCCGAGCAGCCGGCGGCCGACCCCGCCGCCGCCGAGCCGGAAGACGAGGAGGAGGAGGAGGAGGAGGAGGAGACGGAGGCGCCCGACGCGGAACAGGAGGCCGCGGAGGACGAGGAGGACGCGCUGCUCGACCGCGCGCAGGCCCUGAUCUCCCGCGUCGUCGAGCAGGAGAGCAACCCCAACCCGCGCCUCAUCCACACCCUCGCCACCAUGUGCGAGGUCCAGGAGGCCAGGCACCUGCAGGAAUGCGCUAGUGAUCCGUCCUUCAAUAACACAAACACAAGGGGCUCCCAUACUAUAGGCAAGCUGGCGAGUUUGAUCAGGGAGAAUGAUGAUUUCUACGACCUAGUGUUUUCUAAGUUCUUGUCAGAUACAUCGUACCCUUUGCCAGUACGCUGUGCUUCUGCUAGGCUGCUCCUAAGCAUCCAGGAUGCAUUUUCGCCUCAGUUUUCUCAUCCUUUUGAAGAUGCUACCCUAGAAAAUAUAAAAUCCUGGAUAAAGGAAGAUGGUGAAGCAUCGGAUGAAUGUGAUUGGAAGCAUCUAGGAAGUGGUAAAAAACCCACAGAUACUGAGAUGAUGAGAACAUAUGCUAUUGGGUUGCUCUCGAUGGCGUUGUAUGGUGGUGGGCGUUUGGUAGAAGAUGUCUUGAACAUGGGAGUAUCAGCCAAGCUCAUGCGUUUUCUGCGAAUACGAGUCUUUGGUGAUGCCACAUCUCCAGAGAAAGAUGCCAAUCUUCCACUAGAUACCAAGCAUCCUCGGGGUAGAGAUGAGAAUAGGGGCAAAGUACGAUUGCUUCAAGACAGUUCUAUACUGGACGGAACAAGGGCUGGAGAUGGAAUAUCGACUGACCCAACUUUGGAAAAACAGUUUGAUCGUGAUGUUGGGAUGAGGCAAGCACACGGAGAACAGGGGAUGGAUGACACUGGUUACCUGCUACGUGAUGAUGUUGAUUCUACAAUGGAUCCUUUUGAUGCAAAGUCAGUCGAUGGGGAAAAGUAUCCUGCAGGUGAAAGCCUGAGAGAUGAACUCUUGAAGAGAAAGUUCAGCCGUACAGGAUCUCGACUAAGAGGGAAAAUCAAACCAGGUGAAGGCUUGCCUGAAAGUGAACGGACACCUUUAUCGCCAACAGGAUUGAGAAUGGGAAGUCGGACUAGCAAAGAAAAGAAUGCGGCUAAGGUCGAGGACCCAAAGAAAGCAAUCGAUUUGAACAAUAGCUCUGCAGCCCCCGAGUCUGAUAUUCUUAGUAUUUCUAAAGAAGAGUAUGAGGACCGGUUCAGGGAUUGCAUUAUCGGCUUGAAGGAUAUAACUGACAUUGUCUUGAAGGCAGUGAGAGCUGCAGAAGCGGAAGCCAGAUCAGCGAAUGCUCCUGAGGAAGCUGUGAAAGCAGCAGGUGAUGCUGCUGCUGAGCUUGUGAAAUCUGCUGCUUUAGAGGCUUGGAAGAGUGAAAAUAGUGGCGAUGCCGUUGUAUUAGCCGCUGAGAAAGCUGCAGCUACUGUAGUCGAUGCUGCCAUGUCCACUAGCGUCUCAAGAAGCUCUGACCAGGUUAAUGAGGAGCAUGUUGUUGAAGAAGCUGUGAAAAUUAGUGAGGACCAGGAUCUGGAAGAUUUUGUUAUCAUUGACCAGGAGCAGCUCUUGCUACUUAGGGAAAAAUAUAGCAUUUUGUGCUUGCAGUAUCUUGGAGAGUACGUUGAAGCUUUGGGUCCUGUUCUUCAUGAAAAAGGUGUUGAUGUUUGCCUCGCAUUGCUGCAACGGGGAAUCAAAGACCAGGAGGGAUGUGGCCACGUUUCACUACUUCAUGAAAUUCUUAGAUUGAUUUGUGCCCUGGCCGCACACCGGAAAUUUGCUGCGCUAUUUGUUGACCGGGGUGGUAUUCAGAAGAUCCUCUCUGUCCCUAAGAUUACUCAGACAUACACUGCUCUGUCUGCAUGCUUGUUUACUUUCGGUUCUCUCCAGUCUACCAUGGAACGUGUUUGUGCGCUUUCACCUGACACACUCAACAAUGUGGUUGAACUAGCGCUGCAACUCUUAGAAUGCCCACAAGAUGCAGCUAGAAAAAAUGCAGCCAUAUUCUUUGCUGCUGCAUUUGUGUUCAAAGCUGUUCUGGAUUCAUUUGAUGCACAGGAUGGGAUGCAAAAACUUCUGAAUAUAUUACAAGUUGCUGCAUCCGUAAGGUCGGGUGGUAACUCUGGAGCAUUAGGAUCCUCCAAUGCGAAUCAAGGGAAUGACCGAUCGCCUGCUGAAAUUCUGACUCAGUCAGAAAAGCAGGUCGCGUAUCAUUCAUGUGUUGCACUACGUCAAUAUUUUAGAGCUCAUCUCCUUCAGCUUGUUGAUUCCAUCCGGCCAAGCAAGAGCAUCCGUAGUAUUGCUCGGAAUACUUCCAGUGCAAGAGCUGGUUACAAACCUUUUGACAUCGGCAACGAGGCUAUGGAUGCUAUUUUUCGUCAGGUCCAGCGGGACAGAAAGUUAGGACCUGCUCUCGUAAGAGCUCGCUGGCCCGUGAUGGAUAAAUUCUUGGCCUCUAAUGGUCAUAUUAUCCUGCUAGAAUUAUGCCAGAGUCUACCUGCUGAUCGGUAUCUUCAUGACUUGGCUCAGUAUGCAUUUGGAGUUCUUCACAUCAUAACUCUUAUGCCACACAGCCGCAAAUUGAUGGUGCAUGCUACAUUAACUAACAACCGUAUUGGUAUGGCUGUUAUACUAGAUAUAGCAAACAGUGUUGUUGGCUAUGUUGAUCCUGAGGUGAUUUGUCCAGCAUUGAAUGUGCUUGUCAAUCUUGUAUGCCCCCCUCCAUCGAUCAGCAACAAGCCGUCCUCAGCUGUUAAUCAGCAGCCUGCAGGAAGUUAUUCAGAGAGCAGAGACAGGAAUGCUGAAAAAAGCACUUCAGAAAGAAAUGUUGCAGCGAACCAAAGUGAAUCUCGGGAACGAUAUGGCGAUGGCACACCUGUUGUGUCAUCUGGAGUUGUUGGUGACAAGAGAAUAUCGCUAGGUGUAGGAGCUGGGGGUCCUGGUCUUGCUGCUCAAUUGGAACAAGCUUAUCGCCAAGCUCGAGAAGUAGUCAGAGCCAAUAAUGGUAUAAAGAUUCUUUUGCAGCUUCUUGGCACUCGGAUGGUUACACAUCCUUUGGCUAUUGAUCCUAUUCGAGCCCUUGCCUGUCGUGUACUGCUUGGCUUGGCUAGAGACGAUGCUAUUGCACAUAUACUGACGAAGCUCCAGGUAGGGAAGAAAUUAUCAGAACUUAUUCGUGAUACGAGUACCCAGUCAUCUGGAGGUGAUAAUGCAAGAUGGCUAAAUGAACUGACCCAAGUGGCAAUUGAGCUCAUUGCGGUCUUGACUAAUUCUGGUAAAGAAACAACCUUAGCAACUGAUGCUGCUGCUCCAGCGUUGAAGCGCAUUGAGCGAGCUGGCAUAGCAGCUGCUACUCCUGUCUCUUACCAUUCCAGGGAACUGAUGCAACUGAUACAUGAACAUCUCGUUGGAUCUGGUUUGGCUGCUACUGCUGCCAUGUUGCAGAAGGAGGCUGACCUUGCACCUUUGCCAUCAACUGCUGCAGUGCUACCUGUCCACCAGCCCGCUGCCCUGGAACCAUCAUCUGUUCAAGUUCAACAACAGUGGCCUUCUGGCCGUGUUCAGGGAUUUCUGUCCGACAAAACAAUGAUUGCUGCAGAUCAAGCUGGCCAACGAUCAGAUUCUGUUGUGCCUUCGUCUAAGAAGAAGGCACUGGUAUUCUCAUCCAGUUUCUCUAAACGAAAUCAACCCUUUGUUUCGUUUUCUGGUAAUAGAGCAAGCAAUAGCCUGAAAAGUCCUGUACCUGCCGGAAAUGUGGACGGUAUGACUUGCUCUGCCUCUGCUGCCAAUACUGGAGAUGUGGAGACAUCGCAUAAAACACCAAUGCCCUUGCCACUUAAGAGGAAGCUUGCGGAUAUGGAGUUUAGUUCUGCAUCAGCAGCAAAGCGCCCUGCAAUAAUGGAUCAAGCAUCCCAAUCUCCUGUGUUCCAAACUCCUGCUCCUACUCGCAGAGGCCUCUCUGUGGCAGUGGAUUCUCCUACUGCAGCAUUUCAUCCAGGAAGGACAAACUUCAACAACAUUUCCACUGAGAACUUUGAAGAUUCUCAAUGCACACCUGGAGUGGUAACAGGCACACCACAUCUUGGUGUAAAUGAUCAACAACCAGGAACUUCGGAGCGCAUGACGCUCGACUCAUUGGUUGUACAAUAUUUGAAACAUCAACACCGCCAAUGUCCUGCUCCAAUAACAACUUUGCCGCCAGUCUCUCUGCUGCACCCUCAUGUUUGCCCCGAGCCUAGCCGCAGCAUUAGUGCACCAGCAAAUGUAACUGCUCGCAUGGGAAGCCGUGAGAUAAACAGGGAGUUUAGCGGGAUCAAAGUGCCCCGCAGGGAUCGCCAAUUUAUAUACAGCAGGUUCAAGCCAUGCCGUGUUUGCCGUGAUGAGGCCUCGCUGUUGACUUGCAUGACUUUUAUUGGAGGUGCAUCAAGGGUGGCGGCUGGGAACCAUAGUGGUGAAUUAAGAAUAUUUGACAGCAACCUUGCAAAUCUCAUAGAGACGCACACUUGUCACCAAAAUCUUGUUACUAUGGUGGAUUCAACAUCUAUUGGUGGAACUGAGCUGAUUCUCUCAUCUAGCAUAGAUGAGGUUAAGCUCUUUGAUGCUUUCUCACUGCAUACGGGGCCUUUGCACACAUUUGAGAACUGCAAAGCUGCCAGGUUUAACCAUGCUGGGACUUUAUUUGCCGGCCUUUCUACGGAUGCAAAUCACCGGGUGGUUCUAUUGUAUGAUGUCCAGACGCAUAAUGUUGAUAUGCAGCUUCCUGAUAACUCCAGCCUGCCAGGUUCAGGCCGGGGUGUACAACCCAUUAUACAUUUCAGUCCUUCAGAUGAUAUGUUGCUGUGGAACGGGGUCCUGUGGGAUAGACGAAGUCCCACUCCUAUCCAUCAGUUUGACCAGUUCACAGACUAUUGUGGCGGUGGCUUUCAUCCAGCUGGAAACGAGGUGAUUCUAAAUUCAGAGGUGUGGGAUCUGAGAAAGUUUAAGCUUCUGAGGAGUGUCCCAUCCCUGGACCAGACAGUAAUCAAAUUCAAUGGAAGUGGUGAUGUUAUCUAUGCUAUCCUCAGGCGUAACCUUGAGGAUGUAACAUCAUCCAUCCAAACCCGGAGGGUCAGACAUCCCCUGUUCCCUGCAUUCCGCACGAUCGAUGCUGUCACUUACGCAGACAUUGCAACUGUCCAAAUAGACCGUGGCGUCCUCGACCUUGCCACUGAGCCCAAUGAUUCCCUUCUCGGAGUUGUUGCCAUGGACGAUCCUGACGAGAUGUUCUCCUCUGCUCGCAUAUUCGAAGUUGGCAGGAAACGACCAACUGAUGAUGACUCGGACCCGGAGGAUGGAGGGGACACGGAGGAUGAGGAUGAUGACGACGACGACUCGGACGUGGAUGUCCUCCUCGGGACCGAUUUAGGGCUUGGGGACACGGAUUCUGAGGAUGAUCCAAGUAACAGCAGCGGUGAUGAUGGCGGUGACGAUGAAGACGAGGAGGAUAUGGACAGUGGGGAUGAAAACGAUGACGACGAUGAGGAAGGUGACUUUGAUGUGGGAGGGGGCUUGCUGGAGAUGAUGGGUGGCGGGGAUGGUGAUGAGAGUGGUGACAUGAUUGAGUCCUUCAGCAGCGGUGAGGAUGAAGGGUGGCUCAUGUGA